ACCAUCAGCAUCAGCGACGUGGUGCUGGCCGACGAGGGCGAGUACACCUGCUCCAUCUUCACCAUGCCCGUCAGGACAGCCAAGGCCCUGGUCACCGUGCUGGGUACGACAUGGGCACAGCCCUGAGUGUGCCACCUGGCUGGGAGAUUGCCCUCUGUGCCUAAAAUCCAGGCUGUGCCACCCUUGAUGAAAGAUUGCCCACUGUGUCUAAAAUCCAGGCUGUGCCACCCUGGCUGAAAGGUUUCUCAUUGUGCUUAAAAUCCAGGCUGUGCCACCCUUGAUGAAAGAUUGCCCAGUGCCAGGUGCAGGAUUUGGGGUUCCAGGGCAGAAUUUGGGUUUCCAGGUGCAGGAUUUGGGAUCCCAGGGCAGGAUUUGGGGUUCCAGGUGCAGGAUUUGGGAUGCCAGGUGCAGGAUAUGGAGUGCCAGGGGCAGGAUUUGGGAUGCCAGGGGAAGUUUUUGGAGUACCAGGUGCUGGAUUAGAGGUUCCAGGGGCAGGAUUUGGGAUGCCAGGUGCAGGAUUUGGAGUUCCAGGGGCAGGAUUUGGAUUUCCAAGUGCAGAUUUUGGGGUUCCAGGGUAGGAUUUGGAGUACCAGGGGCAGGAUUUCGGAUCCCAGGGCAGAAUUUGGAGUGCCAGGGGAAGGAUUUGGGACGCCAGAGCAGGAUUUGGGAUGCCAGGUGCAGGAUAUGGAGUGCCAGGGGCAGGAUUUGGGAUGCCAGGGCAGGAUUUGGGGUUCCAGGUGCAGGAUUUGGGGUGCCAGGGGAAGUUUUUGGAGUACCAGGUGCAGGAUUAGAGGUUCCAGGGGCAGGAUUUGGGGUCCCAGGGCAGGAUUUCGGAUCCCAGGGCAGGAUUUGGGGUUCCAGGUGCAAGAUUUGGUUUGCCAGGUGCAGGAUAUGGAGUGCCAGGGGCAGGAUUUGAGCUUCCAGGGAAAGGAUUUGGGAUGCCAGGGGAAGAUUUUGGGAUCCCAGGUGCAGGAUUUGGAAUACCAGGGCAGGAUUUGGAUUACCAAGUGCAGAUUUUGGAGUUCCAGGGUAGGAUUUGUGCUACCAGCUGCAGGAUUUAGGGUACCAGUGCAGGAUUUAGGGAGGAAAGAACUCCACAACCGCCAUCAGC
rnacentral:lncRNA from 1 species